GGCUCAGAGUGAACGCUGGCGGUAGGCCUAACACAUGCAAGUCGAACGGCAGCACAGAGGAGCUUGCUCCUUGGGUGGCGAGUGGCGGACGGGUGAGGAAUACAUCGGAAUCUACUUUUUCGUGGGGGAUAACGUAGGGAAACUUACGCUAAUACCGCAUACGACCUACGGGUGAAAGCAGGGGAUCUUCGGACCUUGCGCGAUUGAAUGAGCCGAUGUCGGAUUAGCUAGUUGGCGGGGUAAAGGCCCACCAAGGCGACGAUCCGUAGCUGGUCUGAGAGGAUGAUCAGCCACACUGGAACUGAGACACGGUCCAGACUCCUACGGGAGGCAGCAGUGGGGAAUAUUGGACAAUGGGCGCAAGCCUGAUCCAGCCAUACCGCGUGGGUGAAGAAGGCCUUCGGGUUGUAAAGCCCUUUUGUUG
rnacentral:rRNA from 1 species